CGCCUAACACAUGCAAGUCGAGCGCUCACUUCGGUGGGAGCGGCGGACGGGUUAGUAACGCGUGGGAACAUACCCUUUACUACGGAAUAGCCUUUGGAAACGAAGAGUAAUACCGUAUACGCCCUACGGGGGAAAGAUUUAUCGGUAAAGGAUUGGCCCGCGUUAGAUUAGAUAGUUGGUGGGGUAACGGCCUACCAAGUCUACGAUCUAUAGCUGGUUUGAGAGGAUGAUCAGCAACACUGGGACUGAGACACGGCCCAGACUCCUACGGGAGGCAGCAGUGGGGAAUCUUAGACAAUGGGGGAAACCCUGAUCUAGCGAUGCCGCGUGUGUGACGAAGGCCUUAGGGUCGUAAAGCACUUUCGCCAGAGAUGAUAAUGACAGUAUCUGGUAAAGAAACCCCGGCUAACUCCGUGCCAGCAGCCGCGGUAAUACGGAGGGGGUUAGCGUUGUUCGGAAUUACUGGGCGUAAAGCGCACGUAGGCGGAUUAGUAAGUUAGAGGUGAAAUCCCAGGGCUCAACCCUGGAACUGCCUUUAAUGUCAGCUAGUGUCGUGAGAUGUUCGGUUAAGUCCGGCAACGAGCGCAACCCACACCCCUAGUUGCCAGCAGUUCGGCUGGGCACUCUACGGGAACUGCCCGUGAUAAGCGGGAGGAAGGUGUGGAUGACGUCAAGUCUUCAUGGCCCUUACGGGUUGGGCUACACACGUGCUACAAUGGCAAGUACAGUGGGUUAAUCCCCAAAACUUGUCUCAGUUCGGAUUGGGGUCUGCAACUCGACCCCAUGAAGUCGGAAUCGCUAGUAAUCGCGGAACAGCAUGCCGCGGUGAAUACGUUCCCGGGCCUUGUACACACCGCCCGUCACACCAUGGGAGUUGGUUCUACCCGACGGCCGUGCGCUAACCUUUUGGAGGCAGCGGACCACGGUAGGAUCAGCG
rnacentral:rRNA from 1 species